UCCUACGGGCGGCUGCAGUGGGGAAUAUUGGACAAUGGGGGCAACCCUGAUCCAGCCAUGCCGCGUGAGUGAUGAAGGCCCUAGGGUUGUAAAGCUCUUUCGGUGGGGAAGAUAAUGACGGUACCCACAGAAGAAGCCCCGGCUAACUUCGUGCCAGCAGCCGCGGUAAUACGAAGGGGGCUAGCGUUGCUCGGAAUCACUGGGCGUAAAGCGCACGUAGGCGGCUUUCUAAGUCAGGGGUGAAAUCCCGGAGCUCAACUCCGGAACUGCCUUUGAUACUGGGAGGCUCGAGUCCGGGAGAGGUGAGUGGAACUGCGAGUGUAGAGGUGAAAUUCGUAGAUAUUCGCAAGAACACCAGUGGCGAAGGCGGCUCACUGGCCCGGUACUGACGCUGAGGUGCGAAAGCGUGGGGAGCAAACAGGAUUAGAUACCCUUGUAGUCCUG
rnacentral:rRNA from 1 species